UCCGAGUUGACCCCGGCAGUCUCCUACGAGUCCCCGGCAUUACCCGCUGGCAACAUAGGACAAGGGUUGCGCUCGUUGCGGGACUUAACCCAACAUCUCACGACACGAGCUGACGACAGCCAUGCACCACCUGUAUGGAGCCCCGAAGGACACCGUAUCUCUACGGCUUUUCUCCACAUGUCAAGCCCAGGUAAGGUUCUUCGCGUCGCCUCGAAUUAAGCAACAUGCUCCGCCGCUUGUGCGGGCCCCCGUCAAUUUCUUUGAGUUUUAAUCUUGCGACCGUACUCCCCAGGCGGGGUACUUAUCGCGUUAGCUGGGGCGCAGAGGGGGUCGAUACCCCCCACACCUAGUACCCAUCGUUUACGGCGUGGACUAC
rnacentral:misc_RNA from 1 species